UAUUAUUGUAUGAGUAAUUCAUAAUUAUUUAUUGUCUAAUUAAUUAUUGUAAUUAGUGAAUAAAUACUACUUAAAGAGAUAGUAAAACCACAGUAAUGAGUAAUACUCAAUAGUUAGCGUCACUACAAAUUGAAAAUGUACAAUCUAUAAAAAAGAAAUAGUAUAGGAAUGAGUCACCAUAACAGUAAUCAGCAGUUCCAAUUUUGUAUGGUUAGCUUUAAUAUUAAAAUUGGAAGGUAUAUUGAUCUAUUAGCAACCUCAGAGCUUAUAAGUUCAUCAAGUCUCCUGGACAUCGUCUUUCUACGGUUACCUAUUAUAUCACCGAGAUGAAUACCUACUGUUCGGCUGUUAAUUUUAUUUAUUUUUAAACAAUAGGUAAGUAAAUCAUAAUAAUAAUUACCGAUUCGACGCUGUCCAGUGGUAUGCUCUGGAAUUGCUGUUGUUGCUGUUGCUGUUGUACAGACAUUGUCGACAAAUACGAAUAGAGACAAAAAGGUAGGUAAAAAAAAAAACUGUAGUUUGGCGAGAGCCGAUUGCCGACAGAAUGACAGUCGACGGAUUGAAAUUAAUAAUAAUUACAUUCCGUUUUCAAACGAUUCGUUGACUAUCAUCUCAGUAUGAUAAUAUGAUUGCUUAUCAGUCAUCGGGCAAUGGCCGGCAAUGUAAACAAAAUAUUAUGUCAACUUUAACCGUGUGUCCGUGUCAAAAACAAUCGUCGCUCGACGACAGUCAUACAACUUGACGGUAAACAUACAUAAUACCGUAGAACCAGUAACCACAUUAAAACCUACCUAUGAUAAUACGCGUUUACGCACGCCGUUGAGAGAACUCUGCCGUGGAAGUGGAACACAAACACUAUAGCCACAGAAUAUAUAUAAUUUCAUAUUAUAUUCUGUGCUAUAGCCACUAAGGUAAGUCACUAACGCUAGACCCCCCCAAAAUUCAAACUGUGUAAACCAUAACUAAGUUUAUAGGUCUAUGGUGUCAAUAUAUUUUCACUCGUUCAUUGCAUUUCAAACGCCUUUAAAAAUAAGUUCUGCCUGUACAUUAGGUUCUUCAGGGCAUUUUUUAAUACUGAAAAAAAAAUUUCAAUUUUGAUUCAACUAUUUUUGAAAAAAUUCAAAAUAGCCAAUUUGUGAAUCUGAUUAAGAACAAUUUAUUUUGAUAGUAAAAACAUUUAUCUAAGUCAACUAGUGUUUAUUAUUGGGAAUUUCCUAACAUGAGUAUAUUUUUUAAAUUAUUUAUUAAUCAUAUAAUUUCCACAAUUUUUGUGAUACGUUUAGUACUACGUUUAGUAGUAUCAUUUUUUUCCAGGUCUUCCUUUUACACCCUGUAUGUCCAAUCCAUUCAUUUCUUCUUUAUUCGGACAUUAUUUCCAAUACUUCCUCGAUAGUUACCAAAUAUAUUAUCUGGUAUAACUAUGAACACAGAACUUGAACCUAGACUUCCUGAAGACUUCUCAACAGAUGAUCUCGUGUACUUUAAGUUUGCACCAAUUACGUCAGUGGACAUUGAGCGAUCGUUUUCAAUGUACAAGACUACUCAGAAACAAUCGAAGAUCAUUUCACUUUGAAAACUUGUACAAACAUCUAAUUAUUCAAUGUAACUUUCAAGAACACUUGCAGAAUAAAUGAGUACCACAAGUCGUUUACCACAAUAAUUCCGAUGUAAUAUUAUUCAAUUUUUUUUUUAAUAAUAAAAGCUUGAUAAUUUUUUUUAUACAAA